AUUGAACGCUGGCGGCAUGCCUUACACAUGCAAGUCGAGCGGCAGCGCGGGGGCGAACCCUGGCGGCGAGCGGCGGACGGGUGAGUAAUGCAUCGGAACGUGUCCUCUUGUGGGGAGUAACCAGUCGAAAGACUGGCUAAUACCGCAUGAGCUCGUAAGAGGAAAGCAGGGGACCCGCAAGGGCCUUGCGCGAGAGGAGCGGCCGAUGCCCGAUUAGCUAGUUGGCGGGGUAAAGACCCACCAAGGCGACGAUCGGUAGCUGGUCUGAGAGGACGACCAGCCACACUGGGACUGAGACACGGCCCAGACUCCUACGGGAGGCAGCAGUGGGGAAGUUUUGGACAAUGGGGG
rnacentral:rRNA from 1 species